GAUAAGAUGGCUGAGAUUAAGGCGUUAGAUUGUAAAUCUAGACAGAAGUUAAGACUUUCUUAUCA
rnacentral:tRNA from 1 species